rnacentral:rRNA from 1 species
AUGCAUGCUACAUCAGGCAACGCUAAUUGCUUGAGACGGAUUCUAUCGGAUUAUUGCAAGGCGUCUGGGCAGUUAGUGAGCGAAGACAAGUCAAGCAUUUUCUUUAGUCCGAGUACCGAGCCUGAGGUUAGAGAGGAAGUGUGUACAAUUCUGAAUAUAAUGACAGAAGCUCCGACGGAUAAAUAUCUCGGAUUGCCAGCCAUUGUUGGGGCAGACAGAAGUGAUAAUUUCCGGUUCCUGAUUGAUAGAGUGCUAAAGAGAUUGCUUGGAUGGAAAGAGAAAAAUCUGUCCACGGGUGGAAAAGAGAUGCUUCUGAAAGCGAUUGCGCAGGCAAUACCAUCAUAUGCGAUGUCUGUUUUUAAAAUCCCAAAACAAAUCUGCAAAGGGAUCACAGACGGUAUGUCGCAAUAUUGGUGGGGCGAUGAUGCGGAUCAAAGACGGAUGCAUUGGCUUGCUUGGUGGAAAAUGUGUAUCCCAGAGAAAUUUGGUGGAAUGGGUUUUAGGGAUAUCCACUGUUUUAACCUUGCCUUGUUAGCUAAGCAAGCAUGGCGACUAAUUGAGAACCCUGAUUCUCUCUAUGCUACCGUGUUGCGUGCAAGGUACUUUCCAUCAGGAGAUUUGUUGAAUGCGGAGUUGAAGAAAGGGAGCUCUUUUACAUGGCAGAGUAUUUGGGCUGGGAUUAGUACAUUAAAACGUGGUCAUAUAUGGCGUGUAGGAGAUGGAACUAAUAUUGAUAUCUGGAAAGACGAAUGGAUCCCAAAUAGUGCAUCACGUAAAGUUAUAACUAGAAGGGGUCAGAACAUCUUUAGUAGGGUGAGUGACCUUAUUGAUCCUAUCACAAAUCACUGGGAUGUGGAUUUAGUGAGGCAGACCUUUUGGCAAGUGGAUGUUCAAAGGAUUCUUGCUAUACCUUUAUCAUCUUCUGGCAUGCAAGAUUUUGUUGCUUGGAAUCUGACUCGUACAAACACCUUUUCUGUGCGCUCAGCUUAUUAUGCAGAAUGGGAGGGCCAAUAUGGCCAAAGGUUAAACAGAGGAUAUCAAGCUUUUGGUAUCAAACCACAUCCAAUUUGGGAUAAAAUCUGGGGUCUCAAAGUGCCUGCGAAGGUAAAAAUCUUUUUUUGA